GGUGUGCUUUCCAAGCCGGGCGCCUUCAUCAAGUACAGUGAGACUUCCCUAUAGGUCCCACCUUGUGUUGCCUUCAGCACCCUGUGAUAUGAGUGGAAAUUGUGACAUUGCAGUGAGCCAGAGGGGCUGCUGAGCUUCUUUGAACAGCAUGACACAGGCUGGAUCAGGACUCCUUUCACAAAUGGAAGGGACUACUCAGCUGAGAAUGGGCAUAGCUGUAAAAUUAAGCAAAGAGCAAGAACAAGAAAUUGAAUACAGCUCCUGAGCAAAGGAACAGGGAGUUCGUGAUAGGUUAUCAGACAGUUUAGGAAGAAAUAAUUGGUUGCUACUGUGGAGAAGGGAUUGUUGCCCACUGGCACUUUAAAGUCAUUCUGUAUCCCAAGUAACAGCAAUUCAAUACCCUGGAGUCCCUUGGAAAAGCUGGAGUCAAAUGUUAAAGACACACAAGGAACUCAGACACACCGAACCAAGACCAAACCAAGCAGAGAACAGAAGGGAUUUCCUUUGCAAUCUGCUGGUAUGCUUUAAAAAAAAACUUCAUUCCUUUUUCAAUGGGGCUUCAGAGUCAAACUGUGUAAUCUGUAAAAGGUAAUUUUAAAUUAAAC
ensembl:lncRNA